rnacentral:tRNA from 1 species
GCCAGUUUGGCUCAGUGGACAGAGCAUUGGGCUGUGGACCGAAGGGUCCUGGGUUCAAUUCCAGGCAAGGGCA